ensembl:miRNA mir-4934 miscRNA
AUUUAAUUCUAAAAAUCAUUUCUGACUGUUGGCCUCUUCAUUUUCGAAUUCCGCGGCAAAAAAGCAGUGCCGAGCUUCUGUCUAGAUGUCUGCGUCAUUUUGUGAUAGCU